rnacentral:rRNA from 1 species
UACGUAGGGUGCGAGCGUUAAUCGGAAUUACUGGGCGUAAAGCGUGCGCAGGCGGUCUUGCAAGACAGGUGUGAAAUCCCCGGGCUUAACCUGGGAACUGCACUUGUGACUGCAAGGCUGGAGUACGGCAGAGGGGGGUAGAAUUCCACGUGUAGCAGUGAAAUGCGUAGAGAUGUGGAGGAAUACCGAUGGCGAAGGCAGCCCCCUGGGUUAGUACUGACGCUCAUGCACGAAAGCGUGGGGAGCAAACAGGAUUAGAUACCCUGUAGU